UGACGUUAGCGGCGGACGGGUGAGUAACACGUGGGCAACCUGCCUGUAAGACUGGGAUAACUUCGGGAAACCGAAGCUAAUACCGGAUAGGAUCUUCUCCUUCAUGGGAGAUGAUUGAAAGAUGGUUUCGGCUAUCACUUACAGAUGGGCCCGCGGUGCAUUAGCUAGUUGGUGAGGUAACGGCUCACCAAGGCCACGAUGCAUAGCCGACCUGAGAGGGUGAUCGGCCACACUGGGACUGAGACACGGCCCAGACUCCUACGGGAGGCAGCAGUAGGGAAUCUUCCGCAAUGGACGAAAGUCUGACGGAGCAACGCCGCGUGAGUGAUGAAGGCUUUCGGGUCGUAAAACUCUGUUGUUAGGGAAGAACAAGUACAAGAGUAACUGCUUGUACCUUGACGGUACCUAACCAGAAAGCCACGGCUAACUACGUGCCAGCAGCCGCGGUAAUACGUAGGUGGCAAGCGUUAUCCGGAAUUAUUGGGCGUAAAGCGCGCGCAGGCGGUUUCUUAAGUCUGAUGUGAAAGCCCACGGCUCAACCGUGGAGGGU
rnacentral:rRNA from 1 species